rnacentral:rRNA from 1 species
GAUGAACGCUGGCGGCGUGCCUAAUACAUGCAAGUCGAGCGAACAGACGAGGAGCUUGCUCCUCUGACGUUAGCGGCGGACGGGUGAGUAACACGUGGAUAACCUACCUAUAAGACUGGGAUAACUUCGGGAAACCGGAGCUAAUACCGGAUAAUAUAUUGAACCGCAUGGUUCAAUAGUGAAAGACGGUUUUGCUGUCACUUAUAGAUGGAUCCGCGCCGCAUUAGCUAGUUGGUAAGGUAACGGCUUACCAAGGCAACGAUGCGUAGCCGACCUGAGAGGGUGAUCGGCCACACUGGAACGGAGACACGGUCCAGACUCCUACGGGAGGCAGCAGUAGGGAAUCUUCCGCAAUGGGCGAAAACCUGACGGAGCAACGCCGCGUGAGUGAUGAAGGUCUUCGGAUCGUAAAACUCUGUUAUUAGGGAAGAACAAAUGUGUAAGUAACUAUGCACGUCUUGACGGUACCUAAUCAGAAAGCCACGGCUAACUACGUG